ACCCGCUGAAUUUAAGCAUAUAAGUAAGCAGAGGACAGCAAACUGAAAAGGAUUCCUUCAGUAGUGGCGAAUGAACAAGGAAUAGCUCAAGCUGACAAUCUGGACCGCAAGUCUUGAGUUGCAAGAUACAUUUGCAAUGCCAAUGGAAGUGUGCAUGUAAGGCUGUUGGUAAAAAGCAGCACUGAAGGUGAAACUCGUGUGUGUCAUGUGCAAUCUUUCAUGUAAGGCUUGCUCUUGAGAGUCGCGUUCCUUGGCAGUGGAGCGCAAAAUGGGUGGUACAAUUCAUCCAAAGCUAAAUAUUGGGUUGAGACCGAUAGCAAACAAGUACCAUGAGGGAAAUGUGAAAAGGACUUUGGAAAGAAAGUUAAAAGUACCCGAAAUUGCUGGAAUGAAAGCAAAUGAAAUGUCUGAGCAUAAGUAAGAUUGCAGCUCGCUGGGGACAGCCAGCUGGUGCAUAUGUCUAAGCACUCUUGGCAGUUCUUGCGUGUUGCGCAUCUUGCUUUGCAUGUCAAGCCCAAGCUGUAAUGUCAAAUCUAUGAGCAUGAGGUAUCAAUCAUUGUUUGGGGUGGUCAUGCUUACACCUGUCAAUCAGCUUGGUAUUUUUUGUCAGGUUUUGCCAGUGUUGCAACUCCUGGCAUUCUGUUGACAUGAUGCUUCAUUUGACCCGUCUUGAAACACGGACCAAGGAGUCUAAUGCAUGUGCAAGCUUUUGGUUUGUUACAAUUGGGGGCAUAAUGAAAAUGAUAGUCGGGAUGUGUGCGCCGACAGCCAACCAAUUAAUUGCAAGAGGUUUGAGUCUGAGCAUGUUCAUUAGGACCCGAAAGAUGGUGAACUAUGCCUGAGAAAAAUAAAGUCAGGGGAAACCCUGAUGGAGGCUUGCAGCGGUACUGACGUGCAAAUCGUUCGUCAUACUUGGGUAUAGGGGCGAAAGACUAAUCGAACCAUCUAGUAGCUGGUUCCCUCCGAAGUUUCCCUCAGGAUAGCUGGAGCUGCAGAGUUUCAUCAGGUAAAGCGAAUGAUUAGAGGAAUUGGGGGCGUGUUGUCCUUGACCUAUUCUCAAACUUUAAAUGGGUAAGUUCCAAUGGUUGUUUUUGUAAACUUUUGGGAAAAUUGAUAUUCUAUGUGGGCCAUUUUUGGUAAGCAGAAUUGGCGAUGAGGGAUGAACCUAACGUUUGGAUAAGGUGCUUGACUGCUCGCUCAUCAGAUACCAUAAAAGGUGUUGGUUCAUUUAAACAGCAGGACGGUGGUCAUGGAAGUCGAAAUCCGCUAAGGAGUGUGUAACAACUCACCUGCCGAAUGGACUAGCCCUGAAAAUGGAUGGCGCUCAAGCGGGUGACCAAUACCUAGCCGCUGUGGAAAAUAUCAAUCAACAGUGAGUAGGGGGGUUCAAUAGUUUGUGAUGAAGCCCUUGGUGUAAUCCUGGGCGGAACAGCUCUUAUUGCAGAUCUUGGUGGUAGUAGC
rnacentral:rRNA from 1 species